rnacentral:misc_RNA from 1 species
AAGACUAUAGACCUGCGGAGUACCUGCGGAAGGAUCAUUACCGAGUUUACAACUCCCAAACCCCAAUGUGAACAUUACCUUUACUGUUGCUUCGGCGGGAUCGCCCCGGGCGCGGCCGAGAGGCCCAGCCCCGGAUCCAACGUGCGCCCGCCGGAGGACCCCAGACUCCAUGUUUCUUGCAAGGUAUUUCUGAGCUGCUCCUAGCGAGCAAAACAAAAAAUGAAUCAAAACUUUCAGCAA